AGCAGUCAUUACAAUCCUAUGAAUGCACAGAAGUUAACAGAUUUCAUAAUCACCUACGCUUCAAGAAACGAAAGCAAACCAGAAAAAUAACUGAUGCACUUCAAGAGAUUUUCCAAGGUGCAGAUGCUACUUUUUCAAAAACAUUCCGGCCCAUCUGAACGCGGUUUUUAAUAUCUAAACCAGAAAAAUUACUGAAGCACUUCAUGAGAUUUUCCAAGAUGCAGAUGCUACUUUUUCAAAAUCAUUCCGGCCCAUCUGAACCCGUUUUUUAAUAUCUUCAACAUUUGACUGCAACCGAGCGACCUCAUUCUCCUGUGUCUGCUUCCUUAAUUUUGUUGAAUCAAGUUGUUCCUCUAACUCAUUUAUCU
rnacentral:lncRNA from 1 species